UACGGGGGGGGGGCGAGCGUUGUUCGGAAUUACUGGGCGUAAAGGGCGCGUAGGCGGUCUGCUAAGUUGGAUGUGAAAACUCUGGGCUUAACCCAGAGCCUGCAUUCAAAACUGACAGGCUAGAGUUCUGGAGGGGGAAGCGGAAUUCCUGGUGUAGCGGUGAAAUGCGUAGAUAUCAGGAGGAACACCGGUGGCGAAGGGCGGCU
rnacentral:rRNA from 1 species